CUUGGAUUUUCAAUCACUUUUUAACAACAAAGAAUCUGGACCGGCACGUAUUCGGCGCUAUACAGGGGGUAGAGGCAGUGAAAAUUUGAAGAAAACAGACGAAGAUGAAGACGAGGAUCCUUAUAAUUAUAAAGCAGAAUAUAUAUCAAAGCCUAAGGCUUUUGAUGAGAGUUCUUAUAGCAGUCCUUAUAAAAAAAAGAAGGAUUCAGAAGACAAAUAUGAAUACCCAUAUAACUAUGACUCAGGCUAUGAUCAUAAAGAAUAUGAAAGAAUAAAAGAAUUGUCUGAAAAGCAGGCAGCUGAAAUUAGACAAAAUCCAGGAAAUUGCAAGGAAGUAAUAAAGGAUGGAAUGACAUGUAUGACAUGUAAAGAUGCUAAAACUGGUGGAAACUACGAAUCAUGUUCAUAUGUUGCAGCUCC
rnacentral:misc_RNA from 1 species